GGUAGUGCUAAAGGUCUAUUUCCUAGGCUAUACACAGGGGACUGGUUCCUUGUUCUUCUGCCUAGGGGAAAGUCCCCAGACCUUGUGCAGAGAAUGCCGUGUGCAUAUGCACAUAGACAUUAGUCUGUUUCUCACUGUUAAAACCCGCCAAAAAGCAAAUCUCUCUGAGCACCAUGGUGUGGAGGCGUCAUCCAUCAGCUUCACUAGUUACACAGGCAUGUCUUAGGGCACCAACCACACGGGGCUCAGUCUCAGUGAAGC
rnacentral:RNase_MRP_RNA from 2 species